GAGCUGACCCCGCUCUCUGUGCACCUACUUUUGCUGCGUUUGGUGCUGAGCCUGAAGUCCCAGGACAGGCGGCUGAGGGGGAAAGAUGGUGUGAAUUGGGUGGGCAGAGACAACUGAAAGCCACAGGACCCGGUUGGCACCUUUUUGGCCGCCUGCGCCUUUGCCUGCAGCCCCGCUCCCUGGGUCACCCGAAGGAGGAGCUGGCGCUCUUUCCGGGCGCAGAAGCACCCGACCCACGCUGGAGGAAACGGUCCCUCUGGGCAGGAGAAGCUUUGGGCCUGGCUGGAGCACACUCACGGAACCACGCCAACGCCUGGCCUGUAGCCAGCUCCCACCUCCCCUCCCACCUUCUAAAAUGCUUGCGGAUCUCACGUGGCCGACCCUAACCAGAUACACAUGGGGAAAGGAAUCAGGUGGCACACAUACCGCCUUUACUCCAUAGAGAACUUCCAAUUGUGGGUAAGAACAAAGCCCCACCUCUUCCUAAUAGAUGCAGUUUUCCACCUGCAGCCAAAAAGACAACCUGUUAUUAGCUUUUUUCCCAGAGGACAGGCAUCUCUAUGAAACUGCCAUUGCAAAAUUUGCCGACAGUGAGAUAACCAGCUCCAUUUUGCUUCUAACCUCCAUGCCCUCCUUGUUUACUGCUGCACGCAGGUUGAACUGUGGGAGGAACUUAGUUUAAAACAAAGAUGAUAACAGCCCUUUCCCAAAGGAAACCUUUCCUGGGGAUUAGCCUGCUUUUGUGGGACCAACAGAUUAGCCACAAGAUUAGAAACUACGGUUGAAGAGUCACGCAGCGGGAGGCUACAGGAUUCUGACCCUCCCCAAACUGCUCCUGGCGAUAACAUCACCAUCGUAAAGCCUAAGAUCAGCACUUGGUGGGUCACCUGGCACCACCCAGGCUCAUCUGAUGUUGUGGCACCCAGGAACUGACUCAGUGCGAAAACAGCUUCGACUCCCUGUGAUUUCAUCUCUGACCUGACCAAUGGGUACUUCUGACUCACUGGCUGCCCCCCACCCACCAGCUUAUCUUUAAAAACUCCAAACCCCAGAUGCUCAGGGAGACCGAGUAAUAAUAAAACUCCAGUCUCCCACACAGCUAGCUCUGCGUGAAUUACCUUUUCUCUGUUGCAAAUGCCCUUUCUUGAUAAAUUGGCUGUCUAGGUAACAGGGAAGGUGAACCCACUGGGCAGUUACACUUUUAUCCACCCUUCCAGCUGGAUCACGCGCCCUCUUCAAUGACAUGACACGCAGCUAGAGUGUAUGAGCUUGCUGCCGGCACCUUCCGUCCUGGAUCGCAUAGCAAGGCCUCAAUGGACAGCCAGGUGCCUGGUCCGGUCCCACUUUUUUUUCUGUCCUGUUCUCGUUUCCUCUUUGCUUGGCCAAAGAGGGUUGGGCCAGGGUCCUGAGUGCAAAGGCUUGGCUUGGUGAAUUAAAGUGGCAGUAGCCGUGUGGCAGAGAAAAUUUGUAGAUGGGUGAAAUCCUGGGCCUACACAGUGACAAAGUGUAUAUAGACAGCCAGCCUAGUUGGUGGAUGUGACAACCCCAGACUCUUCUAGAUUUGUGGAUCCGUGCACCUGCCAGACCUGUCUCUGAGCCAUCUGGGGAGGCUGGGUCGGCACAGACGCAACCCAGUCUCCUCCCACCUCCGAGAGUGCAGUGUCCUGAAUGGAGAACCCCAGCACCCAGAAGCAUCCACUGAAGGACGUAAGUAGGACAAGGCCAACUGUGGCUGUUCC
rnacentral:lncRNA from 1 species